UAAUACGGAGGGUGCAAGCGUUAUCCGGAUUCACUGGGUUUAAAGGGUGCGUAGGUGGGUCUGUAAGUCAGUGGUGAAAUCUCCGAGCUUAACUCGGAAACUGCCGUUGAUACUAUAGGUCUUGAAUCAUCUGGAGGUAAGCGGAAUAUGUCAUGUAGCGGUGAAAUGCUUAGAUAUGACAUAGAACACCAAUUGCGAAGGCAGCUUACUACGGAUGCAUUGACACUGAGGCACGAAAGCGUGGGGAUCAAACAGGAUUAGAUACCCUGGUAGUCCACGCCCUAAACGAUGGAUACUCGACAUUUGCGAUAUACUGUAAGUGUCUGAGCGAAAGCAUUAAGUAUCCCACCUGGGAAGUACGACCGCAAGGUUGAAACUUAAAGGAAUUGACGG
rnacentral:rRNA from 1 species